rnacentral:rRNA from 1 species
UACGUAGGGUGCAAGCGUUUGUCCGGAAUUAUUGGGCGUAAAGAGCUCGUAGGCGGUGUGUCGCGUCGGUCGUGAAAACUUGGGGCUUAACUCUGAGCUUGCGGUCGAUACGGGCAUCACUGGAGUUCGGCAGGGGGAGACUGGAAUCCUGGUGUAGCGGUGAAAUGCGCAGAUAUCAGGAGGAACACCGAUGGCGAAGGCAGGUCUCUGGGCAUUAACUGACGUGGAGGAGCGAAAGCAUGGGGAGCGAACAG